rnacentral:rRNA from 1 species
CGCAUCUGUGCAUGCAGCAUAUCAAUAAGCGGAGGAAAAGAAACUAACAAGGAUUCCCUAGUAACGGACGAGUGAAGCGGGAAGGAGCUCAAAUUUGAAAUCUUAAAGGGUUUCCCUUUACGAAUUGUAGUUUAAAGAAGUGUUUUCUGUUGAGGUUUUGGUAAAAGUUCUUUGGAAUAGGACAUCAUAGAGGGUGAGAAUCCCGUAUUUGACCUUUACUUUCAACUUUGUGAUACACUUUCAAAGAGUCGGAUUGUUUGGGAAUGCAGUCCAAAAUGGGUGGUAAAUUUCAUCUGAAAGCUAAAUAUUGGCGAGAGACCGAUAGCGAACAAGUACCGUGAGGGAAAGAUGAAAAGAACUUUGAAAAGAGAGUUAAACAGUACGUGAAAUUGUCAAAAGGGAAGCGUUUGACACCAGUGUUGUUUUUCUGAAAAUCAAUUAAAGAACUGUUUAUGCUAAGUUGUUUAGACUUUAUCAGCUAACUGUUUAGUUUUGAGCUUUUCUUUAAUGCACUUUUCAGUUAACAAGUCAACAUCAAUUUCUUUUGCUGUAAAAAAGCUUGAGGAAGGUGGCUUGAGAUUCGUCUUAAGUGUUUAUAGCCUCUUGCCUAUGCAGUCGGAGAGAUUGAGGUCUGCAGCGUAGAUCCUUCGGGGCUAAAUGCAUUUGUGCUAAGUUAUAGCAUUUUAUAGACAACUUGUUGACUAUGAUUUGUCUUGUAGCUUACUCGCUUAUGUUAUUUUACCUACGCUUAGGAUGUUGAGUCGUAGAGCACGCAG